rnacentral:rRNA from 1 species
UACGAAGGGGGCGAGCGUUGUUCGGAUUUACUGGGCGUAAAGGGCGCGUAGGCGGCUCUCCUAGUCGCGUGUGAAAGCCCCGGGCUCAACCUGGGAAUUGCAUUUGAGACUGAAUAGCUAGGGUGCGGAAGAGGGAAGCGGAAUUUCCGGUGUAGCGGUGAAAUGCGUAGAUAUCGGAAGGAACACCAGUGGCGAAAGCGGCUUCCUGGUCCAGCACCGACGUUCAGGCACGAAAGCGUGGGGAGCAAACAGG